GGGGCUGAUUCAGGAUUCGACAGGAUCAAGAAGGCUCGUGGAGCAUGCCGAGGGGCGGUUUGCCUCGUUAAAAGCCGCAAAACUAUAGUCGCAAACGACGAAAACUACGCACUAGCAGCUUAAUAACCUGCUAGAGCCUGCCCUCCAUAGCCUCUGUCUGUAGGACGUGGGUCAAGGGCAGUCAAACCCAAACAGAAUCGCGUGGAGGCUUACACCUAAUAGCCAAAGCGUUAAAACUAAAUUAGGUAUGUCAUUACAUAGCGUGUCUAUUCGCAGUGUGGUGCCGAGAAUAAAGAUAGACUAAGCAUGUAGCGCCAUUAGUUAGACUGAUUUUGGACGCGGGUUCAACUCCCGCCAGCUCCACCA
rnacentral:tmRNA from 1 species